AAGCCACUGCAGCUUGGGGCAGGGCAAGGGGAAAACUGGCCCCAGGGAAGGGUUAUCACCUCUUUGUUGUUAAGAACCUCUCCCAGACAAUCUACUCUCUUUCACCCUCACAAGAUCCUGGAAGCAGGAUUUGGAUCUCUUUUCUAUUUUUAGAACCUCUGGCUCAGCAGAGGACUAUGGUUAAGACCUGCUGUUUUCUUGUGGUAGAAAUGGAAGAUACCAGAGAGCCUGUAAUGAGCAUGAAAAUGGCGAUCUUCUCCUUAGACUCCCUAGGUCUCCCUGGGAGAAGACUGACAGUCUCCACCCCCACCAUACCCAGUCCUGCCCAAGCCUGGCUAAUACGGCAGCAUGCUCAGUGACCUCUUAGCAUCACAAGACAGUUAUCUUCUACAGUGGUUCCUAGACCUGGGUGCCCAUCCGAAUCACCUGGGCUGUUUACUAAGCAAGCAUGUACAUUCUCACGCCGGCGAUUGAUUAGAACUGUGGCCAUUGUGGGAGCAUGAACCUUUAACAAUGGUCUCAAGUGAUUAUGAUGUAACCAGGUCCUGGCCCAUCACUGGGGGCCUCUCUAACCUCUUCUUUUCUAGAGUUCAAGAGAAAUGAAGUGAUGAAUCCAAUGUCAACCAGCUUGGAAGUGGCUAAGGGAGCAGGUGCUUUUUGUUGAGUGGAGAAGCAGCAUGAAGUCAACAGCUCUGUCUUUUGUAAAAGCCUCAGCUCACUAAAAGAUUCAAGGGACAUGCUGAGGCAGGGAAGCAGAAAUAAUUAAGAACAUCUUGGCAAGACCGAAUCUUUGCAAAACAUACCAAAUGUAGGGCUUCGGGACAGCAGAGAACCCACAAGCUUGAAGAAGCCUCCAGAGAGUUCUCUCGGGAUCAACAGGACACUUGCAUCAUCCUAUUCCUGUUUGUAUCAGCAGCAAUGUGAGAGCUGAGUUCAGUAAGAAUCUUGAGUCCAUAAGAAAAUCCGGAGAUCAAAGAAACUGACAUAUUAAAUGGGACAUACCCACUGAUAAAGUAACCACAUUAGAUCUA